AGAACGAACGCUGGCGGCGUGCCUAACACAUGCAAGUCGAACGCGGUUACCUCGCAAGGGGUAACUGAGUGGCGAACGGGUGAGUAACACGUGGGUGACCUACCUUCGAAUGGGGGAUAACGUCCCGAAAGGGACGCUAAUACCGCAUAACAUCCUGCUCUUGAAUGGGUGGAGAUCAAAGCCGGGGAUCGCAAGACCUGGCGUUUGGAGAGGGACCCGCGUCCGAUUAGCUAGUUGGUGAGGUAACGGCCCACCAAGGCGACGAUCGGUA
rnacentral:rRNA from 1 species